AAUAACGUCUAUUAAUGUUAGAUAUAGUUUUCAAUAGCAAAUAAUUAAUCUCGCAUCGCUUAAAAACUAUAUAAUUGACUGAACGCUUUCUAUCAGUUUAAACACAGACCUUUUUGAGCCGAAUCACAACAGACGCGGGAGCGCGCGCUGCCCUAUGACGUCACGCCGCCAGAGCAAAAUUAAAGUCCUUCUCCAAACCAGCUCAGACACAAUGAACAGCUUUCAGACAGAGCUCUCAUUGGCCAGCUGAUCUUACUGCAUGAUCAAACAUAUAUUUAAAAUGAAAUAAAUCUAAUCAUAAAGGUAUUAAUAAUAUAGCCUUACUGUCAGUGUUAUUUAUACAAUAUAAAUUUAACCUUGUGGGAUUACAAAUGUAAGAAUCUGCCUUAAUAAAACAAGCGCGGCGUCAUUGAACCUCUUGAGAAAUAGCGGCGUAAAGAACAGAAUGUAGAAAUCUUCCUCGUGCUCCAUCUUCGUCUCACUCCAGUACAGCAGGUGGCGGCAAGCACCCGCCAAUAAACUCACAGAAGAAGAAGAAGAAGAAGGCAGCGCCUGCGAACGGGACUUUUAUUUUGGCUGCCGGGCGCUGUGACGUCACACCGCUCUCUUGACGUCCGGCUGCGGAAAGGUUUGUUUGUGUUCGUGUAAAGUGUUAAAACCGAUGGAAACCGUUCAGACGUUAGUAUGCUUUUACAAGAACCGUGAAACGAGCGGAGCGUCGUCGAGUGUAGCACGAUUAACGCUUUAUCCGACAGUGAAGACGCUUAUUGAUGAGAGGUUAUUACUGACCCUGCCCACAUCUGUGGACCGCACAUAUGACACCGAAAUCGUGAGAUACCGAUUCAGUUUCACUAGCCUAACAAAUACACAGUCCCUAGACAAGCGAAGAGUCAGCGAAUAAUACUAUAAACAGUAGCGUAAUUAAAUAAAUCUUCACUAAUGAUUUAAGUAACGUUCUGC
ensembl:lncRNA